UGAAGAGUCAAAAGAAAGUUUUCUUAGACUCAAGGUCUGGCAGCAGUGCUCUUUUAUUCAGAGAAUAGUGUGGAAUAGCAUGGGGACGGGACCCAUGAGCAGUCAGAGCUGCUGCUGCAUGGGGACAGGACCCAUUGGCAGUGAAGAGCUACUGCAAACCUGGGUUGAAGGUAGGGCUAAAUUUAAGGCAUAGGUAUGUGAGUUAUCUCUUUACAAGACAAACGAAAGAAUAUGGAAAAAAAAGUUGUUAAAAUGGUAUCAGUGCAGGUGGGGUCUGGUUAUUGGGUGGUCCUAUAGCUUUAGAUAAGAAUCAGACCAGAUUAAGUCAGGAUGUCCUAUGCUUCCCAGAGGAUGUUGGUGGUGGGAGGAGUCAUCUAUGUGACGUUACCAGACAAGCACAAUAAACAAGACUUAAGUCCUUGCGGUCCCCAUUAAGAGUUUCUAGAGAUAAGGUCAUCCCCUCUUCCUCCUGGUGCAGAGAGGGAGACACCCUCACAGAUGGAGACUUCCUUCACAAAUGCAAAUGUCUCUUAACAAAGGAAAGGACUUUGCAGAUAUGAUUAAGUUGAAGAUCUUGAGAUGGAGAGAUUAUCCUGGAUUUUUGGAGUGGACCUUAAAUGUAAUCACAAGUGUCUUUAAAGAAAGAGGGAGAGGGAGAAGAAAGAAAGCAUGCAACCAAGGAAGCAGCGAGAGAUUUGAAGAUGCUAUGCUGCUAAAUUUAAAAUGGAGGAAGGAGCCACCAGCCAAGGAAUGCAAAGAAUGCAGCUCUAGAAGCUGGAAAAGGCAAGAAAAUAGAUUCUCCCUUCAGAACCUUCAGAAGGAACCAACUCUGCUGAUACCUUGACUUUUAGCCCAGUGAAACUGAUUUCAGACUUGUAGCUUCCAGACCUGGAAGAGAAUACAUUUGCAUUGUUAUAGCAGCGAAAGGGAACUAAUAAACCCACCCCUGUCACAGUUUUAGCUCCCUUCCUUGCAAGUGCCUGGCUCUUGGUCUGUAUUCACCACGAGACUGUAAACUCUUUGAGGACAAGCAUUAUGUCUUAUUCACAAUGACUUUCAAUGAGUCUAGCAGAAUGCCUGCCACGAAUGUGCUCAAUUGAUAUUUCUUGAAUAUUGUUAAAUAAAUUAUGGCAUAUUUUCAUAAUAGAACAUGUAUAUACCAUUAACAUGGACCUGUAGAAAAAUAUUUAAUGUCAUUACAAAGUGAGAAUAUAUCUCGUGAAAAUUGUGUUUCUUAAAAAUAUAUAUGCUAUGAUUCAAAAUUUAUAAACUAUAUAUGUACUUAUGUGUAGAAUAGUCAUAAAGAUUAAGGACACAGAUCUCUAGUUGUU
rnacentral:lncRNA from 1 species